rnacentral:rRNA from 1 species
GUGGGGAAUCUUAGACAAUGGGGGAAACCCUGAUCUAGCCAUGCCGCGUGAUCGAUGAAGGCCUUAGGGUUGUAAAGAUCUUUCAGCUGGGAAGAUAAUGACGGUACCAGCAGAAGAAGCCCCGGCUAACUCCGUGCCAGCAGCCGCGGUAAUACGGAGGGGGCUAGCGUUGUUCGGAAUUACUGGGCGUAAAGCGCACGUAGGCGGAUUGGAAAGUUGGGGGUGAAAUCCCGGGGCUCAACCCCGGAACUGCCUUCAAAACUCCCAGUCUUGAGGUCGAGAGAGGUGAGUGGAAUUCCGAGUGUAGAGGUGAAAUUCGUAGAUAUUCGGAGGAACACCAGUGGCGAAGGCGGCCUGCUGGACAUUAACUGACGCUGAGGCGCGAAAGCGUGGGGAGCAAACAGGAUUAGAUACCCGAGUAGUCC